rnacentral:rRNA from 1 species
GACGAACGCUGGCGGCGUGCUUAACACAUGCAAGUCGAACGAAGAGCGAUGGAAGCUUGCUUCUAUCAAUCUUAGUGGCGAACGGGUGAGUAACGCGUAAUCAACCUGCCCUUCAGAGGGGGACAACAGUUGGAAACGACUGCUAAUACCGCAUACGAUCUAAUCUCGGCAUCGAGGAUGGAUGAAAGGUGGCCUCUACGUGUAAGCUAUCACUGAAGGAGGGGAUUGCGUCUGAUUAGCUAGUUGGAGGGGUAACGGCCCACCAAGGCGAUGAUCAGUAGCCGGUCUGAGAGGAUGAACGGCCACAUUGGGACUGAGACACGGCCCAGACUCCUACGGGAGGGAGCAGUGGGGAAUCUUCCGCAAUGGACGAAAGUCUGACGGAGCAACGCCGCGUGAGUGAUGACGGCCUUCGGGUUGUAAAGCUCUGUUAAUCGGGACGAAAGGCCUUCUUGCGAAUAGUGAGAAGGAUUGACGGUACCGGAAGAGAAAGCCACGGCUAACUACGUG